CAAAGUUGUAUAAAACACUGGUUUAAUUGAUGUUAACAUGAUAUUAAAGAUUAUUUUCUAUCAAACUUUUUAGAGAUCUAAUUCACCAAGCGUGCAAAAUAGGACUUCAACUUUCAUUCAAGAUAUUUGGUUAAAAUAACGGUCAGCUACACACAGUGUUUUUCUAAUGCACGGCAAGAUCAAAAAGGGAUCUCGCAGAGCCACCGUCAGAGAAUCUACACCGAGGGUGGCAAAAGAACCUCAGGGAUAGAUCCUCAAGAGUUUCGUCAGAAAUUAGUCAAAGUUCUUAGUCUCUUUCCAAUUUAUUAUCAACUUUUCAGUAGGUUGAUCAAUUGGUAACUGAGGAUGGAACAGAGUCUUAACGACAAGUGUUCCUAACUACAUAACGGUUAAUACCUAUCCAUAUACAAUGCUACGUGUUUGUUAAGCCUAAAAUCCACCUCGAAAAGUGACGACAUCACCAUAUUGGCAAACCACUUCCCGUUAGAUUUAUACCUCCAUUGAAAGGCGCGGAACAAUUCAGCCAAAAGAUCCACCAGAAUAGAUUAGAAUAGACCAUCGAUCGACCGGUGUUUCGGAAAUACUGUUCCGCUGCAACAAAGGACCCAUAAACUGUAGCGCUGGCGAAAUCGACGCCGAACGAUAAACACUUGCCUUAUGAUGUGAUGAUGACGCGAUUUGCGAAGUACCUCUACUUAGUAGUCGUGUAGUGUAUGGGAUUAUAAUUAUUGGUUUCGGUGUCACAGUACUCGGCAGGGUAGUAGAAGUGUUGAGCGGUGCCAUUGUAUCCAAGACAGUCAGUCGCUUGUUGCAAGAUUAGAAAAUUUAUGAUACGAUCAGAGUUAGACCACCAAGCAAAAAGAAGGUGUUGACGAACCACGAAGAGGUGAACUCGACGUCAUUUUCGUACUGCAGCCCUAAGUUCGUUUCGCUUUCGAGAUAAUAGAUUUGGAAAUGGCGACGGGUUGCCAACAUGGUGCACUGGAUGCGUUGCAGUCAGGGAUGGUAGCAUGUCUUUUUUUAAUUGAAAGUCUCCCUGAAAUUGGUUGAAUUCUUGAAGAUAAUAUAAACGAGAAUCCUAGAGGAAGUCCUGGAGAAAUCAAUGCAAGAAUCACUGGAUAAAAUACUUGGAGAACUAAGGACUUUCUCGAAACAAGUCUGCGAUAAUCCUUGGGGGUCAUUUUUGUGGCCAUCCUUAGAAAAAUCCCAGAUCGAAUUCUUGACUGUACUUGAAACGAAAUUUUCAGAAAGUCUGUUAAUAAUCACUAAAUAAACUCCUGAAAUUUGUAUUUCCUUGA